rnacentral:rRNA from 1 species
UACAGAGGGGGCAAGCGUUAUUCGGAAUUAUUGGGCGUAAAGGGCUCGUAGGCGGCCAACUAAGUCGGACGUGAAAUCCCCAGGCUCAACCUGGGAACUGCGUCUGAUACUGGAUGGCUUGAAUCCGGGAGAGGGAUGCAGAAUUCCAGGUGUAGCGGUGAAAUGCGUAGAUAUCUGGAGGAAUACCGGUGGCGAAGGCGGCAUCCUGGACCGGCAUUGACGCUGAGGAGCGAAAGCAUGGGGAGCGAACAGG